UAAGUAAAAAGGUUAAGACCUGUUAAUAUCACCCAGAGUAAAAAUAAUUACCGUGAGAAUGUCAGAGCAGUUGCUGAGAGUGGUGUUAAUGCCUUCACUUUAGAACCCAUCUCUCAGUUCAGCUCAGACCUGAUCCAAAGGCAGA